rnacentral:rRNA from 1 species
GAGCGGAAACGCCUUCGGGGUACCGAGCGGCGAACGGGUGAGUACACGUGAGUAAUCUGCCCUUGACUCUGGGAUAGCUCCGGGAAACCGGGAUUAAUACCGGGAUAUGACCAUCUUUGGCAUCUUUGGUGGUGGAAAGGUUUUCCGGUCAGGGAUGUGCUCGCGGCCUAUCAGCUUGUUGGUGGGGUAAUGGCCUACCAAGGCGACGACGGGUAGCCGGCCUGAGAGGGCGACCGGCCACACUGGGACUGAGACACGGCCCAGACUCCUACGGGAGGCAGCAGUGGGGAAUAUUGCGCAAUGGGGGAAACCCUGACGCAGCGACGCCGCGUGCGGGAUGAAGGCCUUCGGGUUGUAAACCGCUUUCAGCAGGGACGAAGCGGGAGUGACGGUACCUGCAGAAGAAGCGCCGGCUAACUACGUGCCAGCAGCCGCGGUAAC